UGUGUCCGCGGGCCUGGGAGGUAACCCCGCCCCCCACUUCUCGCCGCCCGCGGGGCCAGGCCCCGCUGCUGUGGUGCGCGGGGGUGGGGGUGUGCCGUUACCAUGCUCUUCUGAAGGAUCCCUUUCCUCCUCCUGCGCUCUUCUUGGGGUUCAAGGCCCCGUUUCCAGUGAAGGGACUUCCAAUAACCCCUUUUGGCUAUUCCAUGUCGAGCCUGUGGAGCUAAGAGGCCUGCCCUACUCCACUUCCGGCUGCCGCGUGGGUCUCUCCUGGCCCCACGCCCUGACCGAUGAACCCAGCUUGGUCUUGCUGAGCCACGGGGCAGCCUCCAGCAAGUAACUGAUAUUUUGUGGAAGUCACAAAACGGCGCCCCCUCUGGGCAAGAGGGUUCCCCUUUUCGGUCCGGCGAAGAAAAGCAAUCGGGGAAUCUGCAGAGGAUCGGCAUUGGAGCUUUCUGCCACCACCCUGUCCCCUGCCCUUCCUCCCUGCUCUUCCCUGCGGGUUAGUCUGCAGGGGCUCAAGUAAAGCUUCGCGCCUCCUGCAGUGCUGCUACUCACAUCUGGCAGGCAGCUGGGAGCCGCCCACCACAAACUACUGGGUACAUGGCGCCCUCUGUUGGUGCUGAGUGGCGACGCACCAGGGCCUGUGUGGUGCGCCUCUGAGGUCCAGGAUUUCCGUUUCUGAUCCGUGGGUCUCGGCUUCCACUCAUUCCGUGUCCUUAGCCUGCGGAAAACCCCCACCCUCUGACUCGCGGAGCUCCAAAAUCGUACUCUGAGGGUCCAUGGUUUUCUGCCCCCGUCACGAUCGAUCGUGCUGAUCAUCUGUUUUGCAUGCACGUGUACCUAAAACCCAGUCUAGUGACCUAGCUUCUCCGGACCUCACAAGGUCACAAGCAAUGACUUCAGAUUCUGAAGUCAUUCCGUGCCCCACGACCACUCAGUGUUUAACGUAAAAGUCCUAAAUUAGGAAUAUGGUUAUAUAAAUAAUCACACAUUUGCUCAAUGGAAUUCCUUGCUGUGUCCUUUAAAAUGAGGUGGCUAAAGGAUAUUUAGUAUUUUCUCUAUACUGGGGAAGGAUACAUUAACAAAAAAUAGCACGGGGGCAGGGUCCCUCUUUAAUGUAAGAAAAUCCUACAGGCAUCCAAGAGCUGAACUGACGAGGGAGUCAAUGCAAUGGAGAAACUAAUACAUUUAUUAACUGGAUAAAACUUACACACAAGCUGGCAAGACGAGAAGCGCGGUGGGCUUCCAAGAAAGAGUGCUUUUGCUUUUCCUUUCUUUUUAUAUCCUCACCUGUCCCUGGUACCCUGUCCCAUAGGGGCAUGGAUAGUAUUAUGGGCUCACCCCUACAAUGAACUAUUUUGGAUGAGGAUAUAUAGGUGGUUUAAAACUUGUUCACUGCUUUAUGCGUUUUCCGUUUGUGUUAAAUGAGCCUAUUUUACUUGAUCAUAGUAAUGAUUCCAUAUACUGAAGGUUUUAGUCCAAAACUUAGAAUCACAUUAUAUUUUUGAAAAGGUGUAAAAACACUCUAGAGGCAGAGGCAGGUAGAUAACUAUGAGUUCGAGGCUGACUGGU